rnacentral:misc_RNA from 1 species
AACGCACAUUGCGCCCUUUGGUAUUCCGAAGGGCAUGCCUGUUCGAGCGUCAUUACACUAUUCUUCGGAGUAUUGGCACUGACUAACGUCUUGCCUAAAACACUUGGUGGUAACUAUCAAUCACGCAUAGUAAUCUCUGCGAAGGCUGAUGGGUAAACACUUGAAAUUAAACUUGUUUGACCUCGGAUCAGGUAGGGAUACCCGCUGAACUUAA